rnacentral:rRNA from 1 species
AGUCGAACGGGAGAAUUGCUAGCUUGCUAAUAAUUCCCUAGUGGCGCACGGGUGAGUAACACGUGAGUAACCUGCCCCCAAGAGUGGGAUAGCCCCGGGAAACUGGGAUUAAUACCGCAUAAAAUCGCAAGAUUAAAGCAGCAAUGCGCUUGGGGAUGGGCUCGCGUCCUAUUAGUUAGUUGGUGAGGUAACGGCUCACCAAGGCGAUGACGGGUAGCCGGUCUGAGAGGAUGUCCGGCCACACUGGAACUGAGACACGGUCCAGACACCUACGGGUGGCAGCAGUCGAGAAUCAUUCACAAUGGGGGAAACCCUGAUGGUGCGACGCCGCGUGGGGGAAUGAAGGUCUUCGGAUUGUAAACCCCUGUCAUGUGGGAGCAAAUUAAAAAGAUAGUACCACAAGAGGAAGAGACGGCUAACUCUGUGCCAGCAGCCGCGGUAAUACAGAGGUCUCAAGCGUUGUUCGGAAUCACUGGGCGUAAAGCGUGCGUAGGCGGUUUCGUAAGUCGUGUGUGAAAGGCGGGGGCUCAACCCCCGGACUGCACAUGAUACUGCGAGACUAGAGUAAUGGAGGGGGAACCGGAAUUCUCGGUGUAGCAGUGAAAUGCGUAGAUAUCGAGAGGAACACUCGUGGCGAAGGCGGGUUCCUGGACAUUAACUGACGCUGAGGCACGAAGGCCAGGGGAGCGAAAGGGAUUAGAUACCCCUGUAGUCCUGGCAGUAAACGGUGCACGCUUGGUGUG